GACGAACGCUGGCGGCGUGCUUAACACAUGCAAGUCGAACGGAGAGGCCCUGCUUUUGUGGGGUGCUCGAGUGGCGAACGGGUGAGUAACACGUGAGUAACCUGCCCUUGACUUUGGGAUAACUUCAGGAAACUGGGGCUAAUGCCGGAUAGGAGCUCCUGCUGCAUGGUGGGGGUUGGAAAGUUUCGGCGGUUGGGGAUGGACUCGCGGCUUAUCAGCUUGUUGGUGGGGUAGUGGCUUACCAAGGCUUUGACGGGUAGCCGGCCUGAGAGGGUGACCGGCCACAUUGGGACUGAGAUACGGCCCAGACUCCUACGGGAGGCAGCAGUGGGGAAUAUUGCACAAUGGGCGGAAGCCUGAUGCAGCAACGCCGCGUGCGGGAUGACGGCCUUCGGGUUGUAAACCGCUUUCGCCUGUGACGAAGCGUGAGUGACGGUAAUGGGUAAAGAAGCACCGGCUAACUACGUG
rnacentral:rRNA from 1 species